rnacentral:rRNA from 1 species
GACGAACGCUGGCGGCGUGCUUAACACAUGCAAGUCGAACGGAAAGGCCCUGCUUUUGUGGGGUGCUCGAGUGGCGAACGGGUGAGUAACACGUGAGUAACCUGCCCUUGACUUUGGGAUAACUUCAGGAAACUGGGGCUAAUACCGGAUAGGAGCUCCUGCUGCAUGGUGGGGGUUGGAAAGUUUCGGCGGUUGGGGAUGGACUCGCGGCUUAUCAGCUUGUUGGUGGGGUAGUGGCUUACCAAGGCUUUGACGGGUAGCCGGCCUGAGAGGGUGACCGGCCACAUUGGGACUGAGAUACGGCCCAGACUCCUACGGGAGGCAGCAGUGGGGAAUAUUGCACAAUGGGCGGAAACCUGAUGCAGCAACGCCGCGUGCGGGAUGACGGCCUUCGGGUUGUAAACCGCUUUCGCCUGUGACGAAGCGUGAGUGACGGUAAUGGGUAAAGAAGCACCGGCUAACUACGUGCCAGCAGCCGCGGUGACACGUAGGGUGCGAGCGUUGUCCGGAUUUAUUGGGCGUAAAGGGCUCGUAGGUGGUUGAUCGCGUCGGAAGUGUAAUCUUGGGGCUUAACCCUGAGCGUGCUUUCGAUACGGGUUGACUUGAGGAAGGUAGGGGAGAAUGGAAUUCCUGGUGGAGCGGUGGAAUGCGCAGAUAUCAGGAGGAACACCAGUGGCGAAGGCGGUUCUCUGGGCCUUUCCUGACGCUGAGGAGCGAAAGCGUGGGGAGCGAACAGGCUUAGAUACCCUGGUAGUCCACGCUGUAAACGGUGGGUACUAGGUGUGGGGUCCAUUCCACGGGUUCCGUGCCGUAGCUAACGCUUUAAGUACCCCGCCUGGGGAGUACGGCCGCAAGGCUAAAACUCAAAGGAAUUGACGGGGCCCCGCACAAGCGGCGGAGCAUGCGGAUUAAUUCGAUGCAACGCGUAGAACCUUACCUGGGUUUGACAUGGAUCGGGAGUGCUCAGAGAUGGGUGUGCCUCUUUUGGGGUCGGUUCACAGGUGGUGCAUGGCUGUCGUCAGCUCGUGUCGUGAGAUGUUGGGUUAAGUCCCGCAACGAGCGCAACCCUUGUUCACUGUUGCCAGCACGUUAUGGUGGGGACUCAGUGGAGACCGCCGGGGUCAACUCGGAGGAAGGUGGGGAUGACGUCAAGUCAUCAUGCCCCUUAUGUCCAGGGCUUCACGCAUGCUACAAUGGCUGGUACAGAGAGUGGCGAGCCUGUGAGGGUGAGCGAAUCUCGGAAAGCCGGUCUCAGUUCGGAUUGGGGUCUGCAACUCGACCUCAUGAAGUCGGAGUCGCUAGUAAUCGCAGAUCAGCAACGCUGCGGUGAAUACGUUCCCGGG